CCCUCGAUAGCUCAGUCGGUAGAGCGGAGGAUCGUAGAUCCUUAGGUUGCUGGUUCAAAUCCGGCUCGAAGGA
rnacentral:tRNA from 1 species